AUCCGCUUAAGUAAGGCCGCCGGCAAGCCAAAUUUAACCGGACAUGCUUAAUUUUUCUUCUUUCUCUCUUUCUCUAAUUCCUCUUCCUUUCUGAUCAUUCUUUCAUUUGGCGUGGAGUUAGAAGCACUAAUUCGCACAGCCCUGAACCAUGAGAGCGAAGUGGCGUAAGAAGAGGAUGCGCAGGCUUAAGCGUAAGCGCAGGAAGAUGCGUGCAAGAUCGAAGUAAACUCCAAGUGGAAUACCUCGUCUCUCAUCCCGUUUGUUAACAUCUUGAGAGUUUACCCUUUCAUUGCGUUGUAUACGUAGAAAGUGUAUUUGGAUGAAAUAUUAACCGAUUCUAACAAUUAUGUUUGAUUCCUGUGCGAAAUAAAUACGUUUAAGUUA
rnacentral:lncRNA from 1 species